rnacentral:rRNA from 1 species
UCGCCGCCGACGACGUCGCGAGAAGUCCACUGAACCUUAUCAUUUAGAGGAAGGAGAAGUCGUAACAAGGUUUCCGUAGGUGAACCUGCGGAAGGAUCAUUGUCGAUACCUGCAAAGCAGAACGACCCGCGAACCGUUUCUCAACGCCCGGGAUUCCGGAAGGCGUCCAGCUGCCCGGCUUCCCGACGGCUUCGGACGUUGGGGGCAACCCCGGCGGCCGGAGCAUCAAACACACCCCGGCGUGCAAAGCGCCAAGGUACUCCAAUCGUAGGGCAAGCGCCCGUUGGGCUGGGCUCCAGCUCGAUCGGGUGUCUGUUCCGUAUCAUAAAUCCAAACGACUNNNGUGUGAAUUGCAGAAUCCCGUGAACCAUCGAGUUUUUGAACGCAAGUUGCGCCCGAAGCUUCGGCUAAGGGCACGCCUGCCUGGGUGUCACACAUAACCAUGCCUCCAAAACCUUCCUCGUCGUGACACAACRGCGACGGUUUUGGAUGCGGAAGAUGGCCUCCCGCGACCGCGAUGCACGGAUGGCCCAAAUGUUUGCCGGGGAAGCGAAGCGCCACGGCGUUCGGUGGUCGGCACAGCCCUUGAGGCGAUCAUGCCCGUGGUGGCCGCGGCAGUCCCCGGUAUACGACCCUAAUCACUAACCAACGCGACCUCAGGUCAGGCGGGGCUACCCGCUGAGUUUAAGCAUAUCAAUAAGCGGAG